rnacentral:snRNA from 1 species
GGCUAUUAGGGCAAUCUAGCUACAAUAUCCAUCGCUCCAUUGACAGUCAGGGUCAAUUCAGCUGAUCUGAAUUGACUAGGUGGGUGCCCCUUUCCUUCCUUAUACUACCAUGUGUAUCCAUCCCCAAGGUGCAUGCUAAGUUGAAGAAGACGACCUUCCCCAACAGAGGAGGAAUAUUCUUUGGUCAAGAAUAUAGGACUAAUUGCAUUGCCCUGCUACAAUCUCCAAAAAAGUUCUCAAGGUCCAUUUAUAGAACAUAGGUAGUCAUGCAUCUAAGACUCCAGACACAUCCAAACAUCCAAACGAGGUCCUGAAUGU